rnacentral:rRNA from 1 species
CCCUUAGAUGUUCUGGGCCGCACGCGUGCUACACUGACCGGCGCAACAAGUUUCUUUCCUUGGCUCGAUAGGCCUGGGUAAUCUUUGAACGCCGGUCGUGAUGGGGAUAGAUCCUUGCAAUUUUUGAUCUUCAACGAGGAAUUCCUAGUAAAUGCGAGUCAUCAUCUCGCGUUGAUUACGUCCCUGCCCUUUGUACACACCGCCCGUCGCUACUACCGAUUGAACGUUUUAGUGAGGUAUUUGGACUGGACCUUCGGAGGUUCGCGCCUCCGUUGCUGUUCGGGAAGACUCCCAAACUUGAGCGUUUAGAGGAAGUAAAAGUCGUAACA